CCUGGGGAGUACGGCCGCAAGGUUAAAACUCAAAUGAAUUGACGGGGGCCCGCACAAGCGGUGGAGCAUGUGGUUUAAUUCGAUGCAACGCGAAGAACCUUACCUGGUCUUGACAUCCACGGAAGUUUUCAGAGAUGAGAAUGUGCCUUCGGGAACCGUGAGACAGGUGCUGCAUGGCUGUCGUCAGCUCGUGUUGUGAAAUGUUGGGUUAAGUCCCGCAACGAGCGCAACCCUUAUCCUUUGUUGCCAGCGGUCCGGCCGGGAACUCAAAGGAGACUGCCAGUGAUAAACUGGAGGAAGGUGGGGAUGACGUCAAGUCAUCAUGGCCCUUACGACCAGGGCUACACACGUGCUACAAU
rnacentral:rRNA from 1 species